UAGGCAUGGUGGCUUGUGAUCUCAGGACUCAGGAGGUAGAAGGAAGAUGAGGAGUUCAGGAUCAUCCUGGACUUCACAAUGAGUCUAAGGCUAGCCUAGGAUACAUGAGAACCUAUUUCAACCAAGGGCCUAGGAAAAUCUUGAGAACUUUGUAAGCAUCCUGCCCUUUCCUGUAAGUAACCCUAAUCAAACCUCACUGGACCGCUAAGCUGGACUUUGGUGCAACCACCAUCCCUGGGGUGAGCAGAAGAAAGUGAACGUGGAGCUGUGUUUCAGCAACUCAUCUGGGAAAGUCUCUCCCACAGCACGUACUGGAGGUUCUCUGAAGGAGGCUGAGCAGAAUUUCUUCCUGGAAAUCCGUGGGUAGCAGCUCACAUUCCAUCACAACCGAGUACUGAUGGCUGGUCCUCUGAGGCGACAUUCUUCAGGUGUCUGCUCCGCACACCCCUUAUUCCAACAGGAAUGCACACGCCUGUGCUCUUGGGAUGCUGUUUACUUAACUCACCAAGAAACUCAGUCACAGAAUCCUGAAGCCUUGAGUGACCCAUCAAGUCCGUAAGGCCACUUUCUACUUCGAGGAAAACGCCCAAAAGGACUCAACGGACCCAUGACCCAAGAAGACAUUCAGGUGCUCAGUCACUGGUCGAAGCCGCCUGAUUUUUUUCACUCACGAAGCAGAGGAGUGCGAAUUAUACCCACCAUGAGACGGCACUGCCCCUGAGCCCUGGAAAUGGUCGAGUUUGGCAAAGACAAGAGCUGGGGGGGGACGAUGGGAACUGCUGUGGGUGGGAGCUUACGUUGAAGCAAGAAUUUGGGAAACACUUGCUCAUAUAACUGCUAAGGCAGCUGUUCUCAACCUGAGGGUCACGACCCCUUUGGGGUCUCUUAAAACCAUUGGAAAACACAGAUAUUUAACCCAGAUAUUUACAUUACAAUUAAUAACAGUAGCAAAAUUACAGUUAUGAAGUAGCCAUGAAAUAAUUUUAUGGUUGAGGGUCACCACCACAUAAGAACUGUAUUAAAGGGUUGCAGCGUUAAGAAGGAUGAGAACCACCAUCCUAAGACGUGACUACUCCUGUGUCUACUGUAGGGAAAGGCCCUGGAGGUUAGAUGAAUCUGCAUAUCCUGGGCAGAAGGUAAACAGAAGAAUGAUUAUGGAAGUGUCUCCUUAAAUGCCACAGGCUGGAGACAGUCAUGUGCCCGCCAACCCAGAAAAGGGUCAGACUCAGAAGCACUCUCUGUGUGAGCAAAGCUGUGAGAUGUAAAUACAUCAAGUCCCUAAACAAAGCUAAACUCUUCUGUUUAGGCACAAGCAUAGGGCUGGGAAGAGAAGCAAGCAGGGAGGUCCCCAUACUGAAAGCUGGGGUGCUGGUGGUUUUAAGAGGGAGUGGCUGAGAAGAAUGAGCAGGGAGACGUCUGCACACUGCGACUGUUCUGUUUCGUGGCCUGGCUGUGACCGUGCGAGUUUUUAUUUUAUAAUUAUCCACUAAACUG